AUCUACGGCCACUCCACCCUGAACACACCCGAUCUCGUCUGAUCUUGGAAGCGAAGCAGGGUUGGGCCUGGUUAGUGCUUGGAUGGAGGAGUGCUGUGUUCUCCUGCUGCAGGUC
rnacentral:rRNA from 1 species